rnacentral:rRNA from 1 species
AUUGAACGCUGGCGGCAGGCCUAACACAUGCAAGUCGAGCGGCAGCGGGAAAGUAGCUUGCCACUUUUGCCGGCGAGCGGCGGACGGGUGAGUAAUGCCUGGGAAAUUGCCCAGUCGAGGGGGAUAACAGUUGGAAACGACUGCUAAUACCGCAUACGCCCUACGGGGGAAAGCAGGGGACCUUCGGGCCUUGCGCGAUUGGAUAUGCCCGGGUGGGAUUAGCUAGUUGGUGAGGUAAUGGCUCACCAAGGCGACGAUCCCUAGCUGGUCUGAGAGGAUGAUCAGCCACGCUGGAACUGAGACACGGUCCAGACUCCUACGGGAGGCAGCAGUGGGGAAUAUUGCACAAUGGGGGAAACCCUGAUGCAGCCAUGCCGCGUGUGAGAAGAAGGCCUUCGGGUUGUAAAGCACUUUCAGCGAGGAGGAAAGGUUGAUGCCUAAUACGUAUCAACUGUGACGUUACUCGCAGAAGAAGCACCGGCUAACUCCGUGCCAGCCGCCGCCGUAACAC